rnacentral:rRNA from 1 species
AACCGCCUAGAGGUAAACGGGUGGAUCCGCAAAGUCGGCCCGCGGAAUUCAGCUCGGAAGGCUGGCGCGGGCGGCGGGCUAAGAGAUCUGAUCUGGGACUCUCCCGUCCGCUCGUCCGCUGGUCGGCCGUGUGCACUUUCCGCGGGCAGAGCGCCACGACCGGUUCUCGGGCGGUCAGAAGGCGGCGAGGAAGGUAGGUGUGUGCUUCGGCGUGCACUGUUACAGCCUCGCCUGUCCCGACCCGCUCGGGGACCGAGGAGCCGCCGUCGGUCUCGAGGGCCACUCCGCUCUCUCGGGGAGUUCCACUGGCAGAGACUGGGCAACCGUGUCUGCCGACCGCUCUCCUGGAUGGUCGGAGCGGGCCUGGCCGGCACAGGGUCGGUGGCGAAUCGGUCGGCCCUCCACCCGACCCGUCUUGAAACACGGACCAAGGAGUCUAACAUGCGCGCGAGUCGUUGGGUAGUACGAAACCCGAAGGCGAAGUGAAAGCGAGGGCGCGCCUCUGGUGCGCUCAGGUGGGAUCCCGCUUCUUCUGCUCGCAAGGGCUUCAAGAGUGGGCGCACCGCCGGCCCGUCUCGUCCGCGCUGUCGGUGAGGCGGAGCAAGAGCGUGCACGUUGGGACCCGAAAGAUGGUGAACUAUGCCUGAGUAGGAUGAAGCCAGAGGAAACUCUGGUGGAGGUCCGCAGCGAUUCUGACGUGCAAAUCGAUCGUCAAACUUGGGUAUAGGGGCGAAAGACUAAUCGAACCAUCUAGUAGCUGGUUCCCUC